rnacentral:rRNA from 1 species
CCCUUAGAUGUUCGGGGCCGCACGCGCGCUACACUGAAUGAAUCAGCGAGUGUAUGUCCUAGGCCGAAAGGUCCGGGUAACCCGUUGAACCUCAUUCGUGAUUGGGAUAGGGACUUGCAAUUGUUUCCCUUGAACGAGGAAUUCCCAGUAAGCGCAAGUCAUCAACUUGCGUUGAUUACGUCCCUGCCCUUUGUACACACCGCCCGUCGCUACUACCGAUUGAACGGUUUAGUGAGGGCCUCGGAUUGGUCUCGGCCCGCUCUUUACCGGGCGGCGCCGUUGGUCGAGAAGACGCUCGAACUUGAUCGUUUAGAGGAAGUAAAAGUCGUAACA